rnacentral:rRNA from 1 species
GACGAACGCUGGCGGCGUGCUUAACACAUGCCAGUCGAACGGAAAGGCCCUGCUUUUGUGGGGUGCUCGAGUGGCGAACGGGUGAGUAACACGUGAGUAACCUGCCCUUGACUUUGGGAUAACUUCAGGAAACUGGGGCUAAUACCGGAUAGGAGCUCCUGCUGCAUGGUGGGGGUUGGAAAGUUUCGGCGGUUGGGGAUGGACUCGCGGCUUAUCAGCUUGUUGGUGGGGUAGUGGCUUACCAAGGCUUUGACGGGUAGCCGGCCUGAGAGGGUGACCGGCCACAUUGGGACUGAGAUACGGCCCAGACUCCUACUGGAGGCAGCAGUGGGGAAUAUUGCACAAUGGGCGGAAGCCUGAUGCAGCAACGCCGCGUGCGGGAUGACGGCCUUCGGGUUGUAAACCGCUUUCGCCUGUGACGAAGCGUGAGUGACGGUAAUGGGUAAAGAAGCACCGGCUAACUACGUG